GUGGCUGGCUGCUGGAAGGCUUGAGUUAGCCAAUCUUGAUUACAGAAUGAACCACACUUGGAAAAGGUUAGGGUGAUGCAGCCCUAUAAAGACCAGCAGGAGGCUGCAAUAAAGGCAAGGGGGGAGGAUAUUGAGAGGGCAGAAGGAGAAUCAACCAAGUGCUAUGAGAGAGUUGGGAGGAGGAGGCGGCGGUGAAUACACAAAGAUGGACUCUGUGCACGAUGUAAGGUAGAAGAAACAAUUGAUCACCUUUUAUAGUUGUUCAGCAUCUCAGCCAAGAAGUCUGGGGGAGAGGAACUGCAGAAGUCCAUGUUUUAUUAUGCAGAGGAAUUGCAUCACUGAAUAAAGAAGAUCUCUUUUAAGCACUUUGGGCCCUGAGUGAUUCCAGAUCACCACACAGAGGAUUUGGUGAACCAGGCAGGGCUUCUGACAGCUAGGAGGAGAUUGAACCAGGCAAUGACACACUGGGCCUGUUGAUUUUCCCCUGGUUCAUCAAAGAAGAGCUCCACCUUCUGCAAAACAAGGGUUGCUCAAUUCAAGACAGGGCUGCCAGGCUCUGCAUCACCCUAGUUUUGAUACCCCCAGUCUGCAAAGUUCUUUUACCUUGUAAUAGGAUAACACACCUGGAGUUGGAGCUCUCCUCACAGGCUGCAAAGCAAGUGCUUUAACUUUAACUGCCUCCAGUCUCCUAGCCAUCCCUUCAGUCCCACCCCACCUGGUUAAAGAACAAAGGAAAUUCACUUACAAAAAACAUUGUUAAGAUUGCUGCUGAAGACUGGACUUCACACCCCAAACAAAAAUGCUCAUUUAGGAUAUCCCCACCAAUCUCCCAAAAGAAUGGCAGUGUUACAAGAACACAUACAGGGAAGGGGACAGGAAACAGAGGCCUCUGUGCUAGUGACCUUAUCUCCACCUUAACUACACUUUUGUAAGUACUGUGGAAACAAUGGCCUAGAGAAACUCAUAAAACAAGGCAGGCCCACUGAAAGUAACUCUGUCUGGACUUGCAGCAUACCUACUAUUCUCAGCUUCUGACUUCUCCUGAACAGAGCGUGCUCAUCAUGCUGAAAUGUUCAAAUGUGUGACGCUAUGGUAAAGUGUUCAGUGUCCAGAAGACCCUAAGCAAAGACUAUUAAACUAUGUCACUUACAGCCUAUUUUAACUCAGAACCCUUAUUGUACCUUUCGCUCACGUAAAAGACUGGUACAUUAAAACACUUCCAGACAUCAUCCCCAUUAAAGUGGGAGGCUUGUUGACAAAUUUACAAGUACAUGUCCAUUACUCUGGAUCUACAAUGAAGAUUCUGUGAAAUUGUACAGGGCCACAUUUUUUAAAGAAGGUUAGAGGACCAUGCAUAAAUCGUAUUGGAAACUGUAUACAUACAGUUGUGUAUAUGUACAAUCAGUUACUAUGACUGAGUGCACAGGAAACCAAUGGAGUGCACAUUUUGAAUAAUUUCAUGCACAAAGAUGUGCAUCUCAGUGCAUAUUUCUGAAGAUUUUAUGCAAAAUUAAUGCAUGCUCAGAUAAUCAAUUCACUGGUCAUGUUCGUCUGUAAUGCUCUGCUAAAGACCACAGAAACACAAAGGAGUAUGAUUGAAGACUCUUGAGUAGCCUCACAGCAUGGCUGUAGUUUAUCACUAUUCUAGUACAUUUGUCCACUAUUGUACGCUGCUUUGAGAUCCUUAGUUGAAAAUUGCUAUACAUGCUCAAAUACUGACUGUCCUACUGUAAAAAAUAUGAAUGCAGAAAGGGCUGUGACAUCUCAUUACUUAAAAAAACCCAAUGUAGCUAAAAAGUCUUCUCUUUUUAUUUUAAUCUUGGUGGAAUUGAAAAGCAAAUAUAGUAUCUAGGGAAUUUCACUAAAUCCAUUUUCUGUUCUAUGAAAGAAAUCCACU